UGGAGAUUGCUUACUUUCUGAAAUGGACUUGCGUUUUUGGUUUGAAGCACUCUUGUCUGCCUUGUUCCUUUUAGCUUUUGAGGAAACCUGACUAGAAGGUGUUCCUUGGGAUUCUGGAACAGCUAUAUGGCUUCUCGGAGAAGCUUCUGGGCUUGACCUAUAUGUUGGACCACCUGCCUCAGAAUCCAGUUCUCUUUGAACAUCAGAAGCACUUCUCUCUGGCUUCAUCUCAAUAUGCCGGGAAUCUGUAGCUACAAUUGAAUCCGCAGCUUCACCUAUGACACUAUCAAGUUGCUCAGGUUGAAUCAUUAUACGGUCGGACAAAUUUGACACCAGAUCAGUAGAUGCAUUCUUGACUUCGACAACUACAUCUUCUGUGCUCUUAGGAUUUUCUUUCUCUGUAGAUUUGGCUUCAUGAUCACAUUCUGCUGCUCCAACUUCAAAUACAUCAGGUGAAUCAAGAGUGGAAGUAACAGAAAGUUCAGUACCACAUUC
rnacentral:misc_RNA from 1 species